GAGGCUAGUCUGUCAAAGAAGUUUAUUGGAACAUCUCUGAGGCUGCUUCCAUUGCAGCCUUGAGUCUCCCCCUCCAUACCUGUGGAACACCAGAGCAGAGAAGGUAGAGAAAGAAGAGGACUGGGGUUGACACAUUCAGUGAGAUACUGCAAGCCAUGAGUGAAGGGCCUGCAGACUGAACAUUGUGGAGAGCCUGGAGAAGAAAAGAGUGGAGACGAGAAAGACCCAGGAUCCCAGCAGGAAAAGGAGAGGGAGAUGCAACAGGACAUAACUGCACUUCUCAGGCAGCAAACACAGAUACUGCAGACUCUGCUUGACCUGCAGGUUCAACACUCCCAGGGUCUCCUCCCUCUGCAGCCCAUGGAGAGCACAAUAUUGGGACAUCCCUCUAUCUCUUCCCAACAUUCCACAUGGCAUCAUGUCGCACUACUCCUGCCACUACACCCCAGGGACAUUAAAGCCUAUCACAGCUUAACAUACACUGACCUGUGAAAGCAACGAAUGGUGUAGGAGUAGCUGAAAUGGACAUGAAUGUUCCUUCUCCUUCAUAAGGUCUGUAAAUUGUAGUAAGUUUUAAAUAUAUAUUUUUUUUCAUUUUACAAUUUCUUUUUUUUUUUGCACUGAAUUCUGUUUCAGAAUAAAUAUCUAUUUAAAACUGAA